GACGAACGCUGGCGGCGUGCUUAACACAUGCAAGUCGAACGGAAAGGCCAUGCUUUUGUUGCUUUCUCGAGUGGCGAACGGGUGAGUAACACGUGAGUAACCUCCCCUUGACUUUGGGAUAACUUCAGGAAACAGGGGCUAAUACCGCAUAGGAGCUCCUGCUGCAUAGUGGGGGUUGGAAAGUUGCGGCGGUUGGGGAUGGCCUCGCGGCUUAUCAGCUUGAUGGUGUGGUAGUGGCUUACCAAGGCUUUGACGGGUAGCCGGCCUGAGAGGGUGACCGGCCCCAUGGGGCCUAAGAUACGCACCAGACGGGUACGGUAGGCAGCAGUGGGAAAUAUUGCACAAUGGGCGGACGCCUGAGGCAGCAACCCCGCGUGCGUGAUGACGGCCUUCUGGUUAUAAACAGCUUUCGCCUGUGACGAAGCGUGAGUGACGGUAAUGGGUAAAGAAGCACCGGCUAACUACGUG
rnacentral:rRNA from 1 species